rnacentral:rRNA from 1 species
GGUUCCUGUCCAACGUUAAUCGGGGCAGGGUGAGUCGACCCCUAAGGCGAGGCCGAAAGGCGUAGUCGAUGGGAAACAGGUUAAUAUUCCUGUACUUGGUGUUACUGCGAAGGGGGGACGGAGAAGGCUAUGUUGGCCGGGCGACGGUUGUCCCGGUUUAAGCGUGUAGGCUGGUUUUCCAGGCAAAUCCGGAAAACCAAGGCUGAGGCGUGAUGACGAGGCACUACGGUGCUGAAGCGACAAAUGCCCUGCUUCCAGGAAAAGCCUCUAAGCAUCAGGUAACAUCAAAUCGUACCCCAAACCGACACAGGUGGUCAGGUAGAGAAUACCAAGGCGCUUGAGAGAACUCGGGUGAAGGAACUAGGCAAAAUGGUGCCGUAACUUCGGGAGAAGGCACGCUGAUAUGUAGGUGAAGCGACUUGCUCGUGGAGCUGAAAUCAGUCGAAGAUACCAGCUGGCUGCAACUGUUUAUUAAAAACACAGCACUGUGCAAACACGAAAGUGGACGUAUACGGUGUGACGCCUGCCCGGUGCCGGAAG